rnacentral:rRNA from 1 species
CCUACGGGAGGCAGCAGUGGGGAAUAUUGGACAAUGGGCGCAAGCCUGAUCCAGCCAUGCCGCGUGUGUGAAGAAGGCCUUAGGGUUGUAAAGCACUUUCAGUGGGGAGGAAGAGUAGUUUGUUAAUACCAAAUUACUUUGACGUUACCCACAGAAGAAGCACCGGCUAACUCUGUGCCAGCAGCCGCGGUAAU